UCUGUGCUGGCCAUGCUGGCCGGGCCUCGUGGGGUCCAACAUAAACACACCUGAUCUAGAUUUGGUCAGCGUCAGGAGGCCCGAGGAGCGGCCAAGGAAUUAUCAGAGGAAUCCAAGGAUUGUUCCUUAUUUCGAAAGGCCUCACCUCGAAAUAACUCCUGCAUCGGAGGACUUGUAGGCAAGGGGAUCAGUGAAGAGUGAAGGUGUGUGACAUGCAGUUUCUGCUGAGAACUUGGCUCUGGGCCUUAGGAUACAGUCUGCUGGAGACAAUGUGCUUAAGUUUCUUAAGGUGGAAGCUAAGGUUGUUGAGUUUAGAUCUUUCCCUUCCCGCCCAAU